GAUCAUGGCUCAGAGUGAACGCUGGCGGCGUGCUUAACACAUGCAAGUCGAACGAGAACGGGUUAUAGCUUGCUAUAAUUGUCAGCUAAGUGGCGCACGGGUGAGUAAUGUAUAGGUAAUAUGCCUCUUACUAAGGGAUAACAAUUGGAAACGAUUGCUAAUACCUUAUACUCCUUAUUAACUAAAGUUAGUAAGGGAAAGAUUUAUCGGUGAUGGAUGGGGAUGCGUCUGAUUAGCUUGUUGGCGGGUAACGGCCCACCAAGGCGACGAUCAGUAGGGGUUCUGAGAGGAAGGUCCCCCACAUUGGAACUGAGACACGGUCCAAACUCCUACGGGAGGCAGCAGUGAGGAAUAUUGGUCAAUGGACGAGAGUCUGAACCAGCCAAGUAGCGUGCAGGAUGACGGCCCUAUGGGUUGUAAACUGCUUUUAUAAGGGAAUAAAGUGAGUCUCGUGAGACUUUUUGCAUGUACCUUAUGAAUAAGGACCGGCUAAUUCCGUG
rnacentral:rRNA from 1 species